CCUACGGGAGGUAGCAGUGAGGAAUAUUGGUCAAUGGGCGAGAGCCUGAACCAGCCAAGUCGCGUGAGGGAGUACUGCCCUAUGGGUUGUAAACCUCUUUUGUCGGGGAGCAAAAGCCGGACGUGUCCGGCUGUGAGAGUACCCGAAGAAAAAGCAUCGGCUAACUCCGUGCCAGCAGCCGCGGUAAUACGGAGGAUGCGAGCGUUAUCCGGAUUUAUUGGGUUUAAAGGGUGCGCAGGCGGAUUUUUAAGUCAGCGGUAAAAUCGUGGGGCUCAACCCCAUCCAGCCGUUGAAACUGGGGAUCUAGAGUGUGCGAGAGGUAUGCGGAAUGCGUGGUGUAGCGGUGAAAUGCAUAGAGAUCACGCAGAACCCCGAUUGCGAAGGCAGCAUACCGGUGCACAACUGACGCUCAGGCACGAAAGCGUGGGUAUCGAACAGGAUUAGAUACCCGUGUAGUC
rnacentral:rRNA from 1 species